rnacentral:rRNA from 1 species
GACGAACGCUGGCGGCGUGCCUAAUACAUGCCAGUAGAACGCUGAAGGAGGAGCUUGCUUCUCUGGAUGAGUUGCGAACGGGUGAGUAACGCGUAGGUAACCUGCCUGGUAGCGGGGGAUAACUAUUGGAAACGAUAGCUAAUACCGCAUAAGAGUAGAUGUUGCAUGACAUUUGCUUAAAAGGUGCAAUUGCAUCACUACCAGAUGGACCUGCGUUGUAUUAGCUAGUUGGUGGGGUAACGGCUCACCAAGGCGACGAUACAUAGCCGACCUGAGAGGGUGAUCGGCCACACUGGGACUGAGACACGGCCCAGACUCCUACGGGAGGCAGCAGUAGGGAAUCUUCGGCAAUGGACGGAAGUCUGACCGAGCAACGCCGCGUGAGUGAAGAAGGUUGUCGGAUCGUAAAGCUCUGUUGUAAGAGAAGAACGAGUGUGAGAGUGGAAAGUUCACACUGUGACGGUAUCUUACCAGAAAGGGACGGCUAACUACGUG